UUACAUACGGGAUCUUCUCAGUGUGUGCUCAAAAUGGCGACCCUAGCGCUUGCAAGGAGAAUUGGUACAAAUUACAUGAAAGUACUAAGAGUGCCCACGCGAGGUAACAAGGUAAUGAAUCCCGUAAAAGAUAAAAAGUUUAGGAGAUACGAUGAAGCAAAUCCUGGAUGGACUGAUUCUUCACAAAUGUUACCUAUGAGAGAAAUAAGCAAGUGGAAGUUUGCUGCUGGUUUGAUUUUGACAGUUUCAUCUGGGUUGAAUCUUACCAAUUUUUAUUUACACUACACUUAUUUAACCCAUUUGGAAGAAGAGGAGUGAUAAUCUUACAGAUUGAUUGAAGAUGUACAUGUGAUGGAUUACAGCACAGUUUACAAACAUUCUAUCGCACCUUUGAGGUGGAAGAUUGUUUUAACACUUCAAGCUAUUUGAAUGGAGAAAAAAUUGACAUGAAACUGAACACUCCUAAAUAAGAAUAAAUUAUUACAUUCUGUAGUACAAAAACUAUUCCUCAGCCUCUAAAUUGUUCUAGGUAAUUGAAUCAGAAAAGUUUCAAUUCAUAAAUAUCACUAAUUCACUUUUUGUUUUGUUGUGUGUCACUUAGUGGUUAAAAAUAACAUCCAAUAAAGAUGAUUACUAAAAAGUA